GUCAGCGCUUGAGGCUUGAAGAGGGAGACAAGCUAAAAGAGGUAUUUGAAGAAAGAAGAGCCCUGCUUGGCAAAUGGUUUGACAAAUGGACAGACUCUCAAAGAAGAAGAAUCCUCACAGGCCUGUUGGAGCGCUGCUCGCUGUCCCAGCAAAAGUUCUGCUGUCGAAAGCUUCAAGAGAAAAUUCCAGCAGAAGCCCUGGACUUUACAACCAAGCUUCCAAGGGUGUUAUCUUUAUACAUCUUUUCUUUCCUGGACCCUCGGAGCCUUUGUCGUUGUGCACAGGUGUGCUGGCAUUGGAAGAACCUUGCUGAGCUGGACCAGCUCUGGAUGCUGAAAUGUUUACGGUUUAACUGGUACAUCAAUUUCUCUCCAACUCCCUUUGAGCAGGGGAUCUGGAAGAAGCACUAUAUUCAAAUGGUGAAAGAACUUCAUAUUACCAAGCCUAAGAAAGAAGAAUAACUCAGGGGAGAAAGCACUUCCACCCUGGCGAUCUUCUGAUAAGCACCCAACAGAUAUCAUUCGUUUUAAUUACCUAGACAACCGUGACCCCAU
rnacentral:lncRNA from 1 species